ACGUCGGAGCCGAGGAGCACAGCUCGAGAAUUGCGUUCGUCCCUUUCCCACUUUACCCCCCCGCCCUUCCCCCCGUCGGGAUCCACCCACCCACCCCGGCCACCGAGAUGGCCACCACGGCCGCUGCGAAGCCGCCCGCGCCGCCGGUGGCGGCGGGCCCCGGGGACGUGUCCGAGGUGGAGCUCUCGGAGGCGGGGUCGCCGGACCUCGGCAGCGGCAGCGGGGGCAGCGGGCGGAGCGCGGCGGAGUACUCCGGGUGGGUGUACCACCUCGGCGUCAACUCCAUCGGACACGAGUACUGCCACCUCCGCUUCCUCGUCAUCCGCGGCAGGACCGUCGCCAUGUACAAGCGGGACCCGCACGACAACCCGGGACUCGAUCCUAUCCGAAAGGGUGCUGUUGGCCACACUCUUAUGGUGGAGGAGCUUGGUCGCCGGAGGGUCAAUCAUGGGGAUGUUUAUGUCCUAAGGUUGUACAAUCGGUUGGAUCAAACAAAGAAAGGAGAGAUAGCAUGUGCUUCUCCUGGUGAAGCCCGGAAAUGGAUUGAAGCAUUUGAACAAGCCAAACAACAGGCAGACCAUGACUUGAUGAGGGGUGUUAGCUGGAACAGAUUGCAGAAUGAAAAUGAGAUUAAUCUUGAUGGUCAUCGGCCUCGAGUUAGGAGAUAUGCACAAGGCUUGGGAAAACUUGUAAGAAUUGGUAAAGGGCCUGAAAUGCUCCUCCGUCAGUCUUCAGAUCUUCGUUGCCAGGAAAGGGUUAAUACAAACUUUGGAGGUGAUACUGGAGAUGCAUUUGAAGCGCAUGAAUGGAGAUAUGUUCGAACAUUUAAUGGUAUCAGAAUUUUUGAAGAUAUUGCAAACCCAAAGGGUGGAAAGGGAAUACUUCUUAAGUCUGUUGGGGUGGUUGGUGCAAACCCUGACACUGUGUUUGAAGUGGUUCUCAAUCUUGAUAAGCAUAAGAGAUACGAGUGGGAUAUGUUGACAGCUGAUUUGGAGUUGGUGGAAACAAUUGAUGGAUACUGUGAUGUGGUUUAUGGGACCUAUGAACCAAAAUAUUUAAAUUGGUGGAAAGGAAAGAAUGAUUUUGUUUUCUCAAGGCAAUGGUUUCGCGGACAAGACGGAGCAUAUACCAUUUUGCAGUGUCCCAUUGGUCACAACAAAAGACCUCCAAAGCAUGGUUACAAACGUGCAAAAAUCAACCCAUCAACAUGGGAGAUAAGGAGGUUGAACACAUCAGGAUCAAGUCCAAAGUGUGUUGUUACUCUUAUGUUGGAGAUUUCUCUGAGUUUUUGGGGCAGAUGGAAGCGAACACACUCUUCAAAUUUUGACAAAAGUAUCCCUUUUGCUUUGCUCAGCCAAGUAGCAGGUUUAAGAGAGUACUUUGCUGCCAAUCGAGCCUUGACAUCUGAUUUGCCUUCAACAGUAGUGAAGUCAAAAUCAUCUGAACCUUUGAUCAUACAGAGUGAACUUGAAGAUUCUGAACCUGGCGACGAAUUUUAUGAUGCACUUGCUAGAGGUGAAUCCUUUGAAGAUGAAGAUAGUGACGACGAUGAUGAUGAUGCAACUCCAAAGGCUGGAAAAGUGAAACUGAAGAAUGUAUCGUGGGCUAUUGCUGGUUUAGCUUUAAAGAAAACUAAAGCUUUGGUUGAGAAUAGUGAAUUGGUUACGAAUUCUAGUCCAGUAACUGCUGACCCCAGCCACUUCCAUGGCACCCUUCGUAGAGCGAAAAGUGAAAAUGACCCUAAUUCUUGGAGUGCACCUGGUGGGGAGAAGUUUAUGAUCAGAGGGAAGACUUACUUGACAGAUUACACCAAGGUGGUUGGUGGGGAUCCUCUUCUAAAGCUCAUUGCGGUUGAUUGGUUCAAGGUUGAUGAGCGCUUUGAUUCUGUUGCCUUGCAUCCCAAAAGCCUUGUGCAGUCAGAAGCUGCAAAGAAGAUUCCUUUCAUAUUGGUUGUAAAUUUGCAGGAUAAACAUGCAGGUUCCAGCGAAACCAAAUUAUAACUUGGUUAUGUACUACGCAGCAGAAAGACCAGUGAACAAGGAUUCUUUGUUGGGUAGGUUCAUUGAUGGAACUGAUGCGUUCCGAGAUGCCAGAUUUAAACUUAUUCCAAGCAUUGUUGAGGGCUAUUGGAUGGUAAAGCGUGCAGUUGGAACGAAAGCUUGCCUUUUGGGCAAAGCAGUAACGUGCAAUUAUUUUCGCCAAGAUAACUUUCUGGAGAUAGAUGUCGACAUUGGUUCAUCUUCUGUUGCACGGAGUAUUAUUGGUCUAGUAUUGGGAUAUGUCACAAGCAUUGUUGUUGAUCUUGCUAUUCUUAUUGAGGCAAAGGAAGAGGAAGAGCUGCCUGAGUACAUUCUGGGCACUGUCCGUCUGAACCGCGUGAAUCCCGACAGUGCUGUAUCAAUCUGAUUAAGUUAAUUCCAUCUCUUCUCGCAGUUUUCCUCUUCAGCCACCGAAGAGGUAGUUUUUCGCAGAACUGUUCAUUUUUAUUUCUCUUAUCCUUCACUUGAGAGAGGUAGGAUCACUAUGUGCUGAUCCCUGAUCGAGGGUUGGCAUAUGUACAGAGUACAGUAAAAGGUAUGAAUACAUGAUGCCAUUCGUAAAUAGAAGAAAUGAAAGGUUAUGUUAUAGUAA